GCCAGCAUGGCUUAGUGGUUUGAGUGUUGGGCUGUAAUUCUGGAGACCAGGGUUUGAUUCCCUGCUUGGCC
rnacentral:tRNA from 1 species